CUAUUAAUCAGUAUUUUCCAUUCUUGAAUGAAAACAAUAAUGACUGGGUUUGAAAUCCAUUUAUAAAAGACAGGCCAGCCAAUUCUUCUGAUGUAGAUUUUGAUAAUCUGAUCGCUUUAUAACUUCUGACAGUCAACUAACCCAAAAAUUUAAAGAAGUUUCUCUUAUUGCUUUUUGGGGUGAUUUACGCGAAGAAUACCAGGAAUUGUCCAAGCGGACAAU